GUCGAACGCUGGCGGCGUGCCUUACACAUGCAAGUCGUACGGUAAGGGCUCUUCGGGGGUUCACGAGUGGCGAACGGGUGAGUAAUACGUGGGUAACCUGCCCACCAUUGUGGGAAACCGCUCGGAAACUGGUGCUAAUCCUCGUCCUGUCUUCCUGCGACAUCGGGGGGGUUGGGGAGCUCCGGCGGUCGUGGCGGGGCUCGCGGGCUAAGCGCUUGUUGGUGCGGUAGUGUUCUGCCGCUGCGGCGACGGGGAGGCGGCCUGUGGGGGUGACCGGCCACCUUGGGACUGACAUACGGCCCAGGCUCCUACUGGUGGCAGCAGUGGGGAAUAUUGCACAAUGGGCGCAAGCCUGAUGAAGCAGCGCCGCGUGCGGUAUGACGGCCUUCGGGUUGUAAACCGCUUUCAGCAGAGACGAGACUUUUUGUGACGGUACCUGCAGAAGAAGCACCGGCUAACUACGUG
rnacentral:rRNA from 1 species